GUAGGUCAAACGGGUCAUGAGUUUGGUUUUUUGGAACUCGGGUGUAGAGUUCUUGCUUACACCUUCGGCUUUGACUGUGAAUGAUGUGGGUUCAAGGCAGAAUUUCUUGGCGUUGUAUUUGCCGGACUUGAAAGCAAACCCAGUAACUCCGCCGUCGAUGGUUGGGCAUUGGUUAGCUGUUCCGGUUCCUUUUACUUCCAUGUAUGUCUUGCUUUGGAUCUCAUCGAAAGUUAACCUUUUUGGACUUCCCUCAGCACUUGCUCCCUGAUACAAUAUCAAUAUACAUGUAUACACACUUACGCAAAUAAACAAAACAGUUAUAAUAUAUACUUGGAUCAAUAUGUCACUAACAGUCAAAGAACCGGAGGAGACAUACCGAAACAACAAGGGCAGAAGUGGCAAGAGCGAAUCCGGCGAUCUUGGCAGCAUCGGUGCAUUUCUGAGCGAAGUCCUUGAGAUCAGCCUGAAGAGAGCAAGACACCCUGGCUCCGGAGGACUCGACACCGAAGGCCUUGCAGAUGCUCGGAGAAGACUUUAGCUGCAGACGGCCGGAGACACCCACCUUGGUUGGUUGCAUGAAAGUUGCCGCUGCUUGCAGUGAAGCUGCCAUUGCUG
rnacentral:lncRNA from 1 species